rnacentral:rRNA from 1 species
GCUUAUCACAUCCUGGGGCUGGAGAAGGUCCCAAGGGUCGGGCUGUUCGCCCGUUAAAGUGGUACAUGAGCUGGGUUUAGAACGUCGUGAGACAGUUCGGUCUGUAUCCGUCGUGGGCGUAGGAGUGUUGAGGAAAGCUGUCCCUAGUACGAGAGGACCGGGAUGGACUGACCCCUCGUGUACCGGUUGUUCCGCCAGGGGCAUUGCCGGGUAGCGACGUCAGGAAAGGAUAACCGCUGAAAGCAUCUAAGUGGGAAGCCUCCUCCAAGAUGAGCACUCCCAGAACGUAAGUUCUCAGAAGGGCCGUGCGAGACUAGCACGUUGAUAGGCGGUAGGUGGAAGUGUGGCGACACAUGUAGCCGAGCCGUACUAAUAGCCCGUGAGGCUUGACCA